rnacentral:piRNA from 1 species
CAUGGAGUAACUACUGGUUGAAG